rnacentral:lncRNA from 13 species
AUGCAUAAUUCAAUGCCUACAGUAAGCAAGAUGGUCCCAGAUCCCUGGGACAAUGAAAGACAGCACAGGGACCUGACUANNNNNNNNNNCCCUUUCUCUCACUUUCUCUCUCUCUUUCUCUCUCUCUCUUUCUCUCUUUCUUUCACUUUCUCUUGCUCUCUUUCUCUUGUUCUCUCUCUUUCUUUCUCUCUUUCUCUCUCUUUCCCUUUCUCUCUCUUUCUCUCUCUGUCUUUCUCAUUCUCUCCCUUUUUCUCUUGUUCUCUCUCUUUCUCUUUCUUUCUCUUUCUCUCGCUUUCUUCUCUUUCUCUUGUUCUCUCUUUCUUUCUCUUUCUCUUGUUCUCUCUCUCUCUCUUUCUCUCUCUCUCUUUCUCUCAUUCUUUCUCUCUUUCUUUCUCUUUCUCUUGUUCUCUCGCUUUCUUUCUCUUUCUCUUUCUCUUGUUCUCUCGCUUUCUAUCUCUUUCCCUUUCUCUCUCUUUCUUUCUCAUUCUCUCCCUUUUUCUCUUGUUCUCUUUCUUUCUCUUUCUCUUGUUCUCUCUCUUUCUUUCUCUCUCUCUCUUGUUCUCUCUCUUUCUUUCUCUCUCUUUCUCUCUCUUUCCCUUUCUCUCACUUUCUCUCUCUCUCUUUCUCUCUCUUUCUCUUUCUCUUGUUCUCUUUCUCUUGUUCUCUCGCUUUCUUCUCUUUCUCUUGUUCUCUCUUUCUUUCUCUUUCUCUUGUUCUCUCUCGCUCUCUCUUUCUCUCUCUCUCUUUCUCUCUCUCUUUCUCUCUUUCUUUCUCUUUCUCUUGUUCUCUCUCUUUCUCUUGUUAUCUCGCUUUCUUUCUCUCUUUCUUUCUCUUUCUCUUGUUCUCUCGCUUUCUUUCUUUCUUUCUCUCUCUUUCCUUCUCUCUUUCUCGCUCUCUCUCUUUUGCUCUCUUUCUCUUGUUCUCUCUCUUUCUCUCGCUUUCUUUCUCUUUCUCUUUCUCUCUCUUUCUUUUUCUUUCUCUUGUUCUCUCGCUUUCUUUCUCUCUCUCUUUCUCUUUCUUUCUUUCGCUCUCUCUCUUGUUCUCUCUCUUUCCCUUUCUCUCUCUUUCUNNNNNNNNNNNNNNNNNNNNNNNNNNNNUCUCUCUCUCUCUCUCGCUCUCUCUCUUUCUUUCUCUCUCUCUCUUGUUCUCUCUCUUUCUCUCUCUCUCUCUUUCUCUCUUUCUUUCUCUUUCUCUUGUUCUCUCUCUUUCUUUCUCUCUUUCUCUCUCUUUCCCUUUCUCUCUCUUUCUCUCUCUGUCUUUCUCAUUCUCUCCCUUUUUCUCUUGUUCUCUCGCUUUCUUCUCUUUCUCUUGUUCUCUCUUUCUUUCUCUUUCUCUUGUUCUCUCUCUCUCUCUUUCUCUCAUUCUUUCUCUCUUUCUUUCUCUUUCUCUUGUUCUCUCGCUUUCUUUCUCUUUCUCUUUCUUUCUUUCUUUCUCUUUCUCUUGUUCUCUCGCUUUCUUUCUCUCUCUUUCCUUCUCUCUUUUGCUCUCUUUCUCUUGUUCUCUCUCUCUUUCUUUCUCUCUCUUUCUUUCUCUUUCUCUUGUUCUUUCUCUCGCUUUCUUUCUCUCUCUUUCUCUCACUUUCUUUCUCUUUUUCUUUCUCUUGUUCGCUCACUUUCUCUCUUGCUUUCUUUCUCUCUCUUUCUCUCUCUUUCUCUUGUUCUCUCGCUUUCUUUCUCUCUCUCUUUCUCUUUCUUUCUUUCGCUCUCUCUC